rnacentral:rRNA from 1 species
CUGCUGCCUUCCGUAGGAGUCUGGGCCGUGUCUCAGUACCAGUGUGGGGGACCUUCCUCUCAGAACCCCUACGCAUCGUCGCCUCGGUGGGCCGUUACCCCGCCGACUAGCUAAUGCGACGCAUGGCCAUCCUAUGCCGGAGUCGCCUCCUUUGACCCCAAGAAGAUGUCUCCUAAAGGUGUUAUGCGGUAUUAGACGGAAUUUCUUCCGCUUAUCCCCCUGCAUAGGGCAGGUUCCAUACGUGUUACUCACCCGUGCGCCGG